GGGUGUUAGCUCAGUUGGUUAGAGCGCCGGCCUGUCACGUCGGAGGUCGCGAGUUCGAGUCUCGUACAU
rnacentral:tRNA from 11 species